AUUGAACGCUGGCGGCGUGCCUAACACAUGCAAGUCGAGCGGUAACAGGUGUAGCAAUACAUGCUGACGAGCGGCGGACGGGUGAGUAACGCUUGGGAAUCUGCCUAUUAGUGGGGGACAACCCGGGGAAACGUCGGGCUAAUACCGCAUACGCUCUACGGAGGAAAGCCGGGGACCGGCAAGGCCUGGCACUAAUAGAUGAGCCCAAGUCGGAUUAGCUAGUUGGUAGGGUAAUGGCCUACCAAGGCGACGAUCCGUAACUGGUCUGAGAGGACGACCAGUCACACCGGAACUGAGACACGGUCCGGACUCCUACGGGAGGCAGCAGUGGGGAAUAUUGGACAAUGGGCGAAAGCCUGAUCCAGCGACGCCGCGUGGGUGAAAGAAGGCCUGCGGGUUGUAAAGCCCCUUUUCAGUGGGGAAAGAAAAGCCUCGACCUAACACGUCGGGGUCUUGACGUAACCCAUAGAAGAAGCACCGG
rnacentral:rRNA from 1 species